ACAAAACAAUAAUAAAUAAUUAUCAUUAUUAAUAAUUAUUAAUCCAUUAUCAUCAAACUUAAAAUAUUUACGAAUUCCACUUUUUACUGAUUUACGUUUUCGGCGAUAAAAUUACAGGUUUACGUUUUUAGCGGGAAAAUCACAGGUUUACGUUUUUGGCGGGAAAAUCACAAGUUUACGUUUUUGGCGGGAAAAUCACGAGUUUACGUUUUUUGGCGGAAAAAUUACGGGUUUACGUUUUUGGCGGGAAAAUCACGGGUUUACGUUUUUGGCGAGAAAAUUACGGUUUACGUUUUUGACGGGAAAAUCACGGGUUUACGUUUUUCGCGAGAAAACCACAGGUUUUGGUUUUUGGCGAGAAAAUUACGGGUUUACGUUUUUGGCGGGAAAAUCACCGGUUUACGUUUUUGGCGGGAAAAUCACGGGUUUAUGUUUUUUGGUGGAAAAUUACGAGUUUACUUUUUCUCAAUUUCAUCGCUUGUACAUUUAAAAAUU
rnacentral:sRNA from 1 species